GCCAAUGUGGUGUAGUGGUUUGAGUGUUGGACUGGGACUCUGGAGACUAGGGUUCAAAUCUCCACUCAGCCA
rnacentral:tRNA from 1 species